rnacentral:rRNA from 1 species
AUACGUAGGUGACAAGCGUUAUCCGGAUUUACUGGGCGUAAAGGGCGUGUAGGCGGUCUUGCAAGUCAGAAGUGAAAUUCCUGAGCUCAACUCGGGCGCUGCUUCUGAAACUGCAGGACUUGAGUGCUGGAGGGGAUAGCGGAAUUACUAGUGGAGCGGUAAAAUGCGCAGAUAUUAGGAAGAACACCGGUGGCGAAGGCGACUUACUGGACUGUAACUGACGCUGAGGCGCGAAAGUGUGGGGAGCAAACAGGAUUAGAUACCCUGGUAGUCCACACUGUAAACGAUGAAUGCUAGGUGUAGGGGGUAUCGACCCCUUCUGUGCCGCAGUUAACACAAUAAGCAUUCCGCCUGGGGAGUACGGCCGCAAGGUUGAAACUCAAAUGAAUUGGCGCGG